rnacentral:rRNA from 1 species
AACGAACGCUGGCGGCGUGCCUAACACAUGCAAGUCGAACGCACCGCAAGGUGAGUGGCGCACGGGUGAGGAAUACAUGGGAAUCUACCUUUCUGUUCGGAACAACACCGGGAAACUGGUGCUAAUACCGGAUACGCCCUUCGGGGGAAAAAUUUAUCGCGGAGAGAUGAGCCCAUGUCGGAUUAGCUAGUUGGUGAGGUAAUGGCUCACCAAGGCGACGAUCCGUAGCUGGUCUGAGAGGAUGAUCAGCCACACUGGGACUGAGACACGGCCCAGACUCCUACGGGAGGCAGCAGUGGGGAAUAUUGGACAAUGGGGGAAACCCUGAUCCAGCAACGCCGCGUGAGUGAUGAAGGUCUUCGGAUUGUAAAGCUCUUUUGGCAGGGACGAUGAUGACGGUACCUGCAGAAUAAGCUCCGGCUAACUUCGUGCCAGCCGCCGCCGUAAGAC